CAGCCGCCGCGGUAAAACAGAGGAUGCAAGCGUUAUCCGGAUUUAUUGGGCGUAAAGGGAGCGCAGGCGGUUUAGUAAGUCUGAAGUUAAAGGCAUUGGCUCAACCAAUGUAUGCUUUGGAAACUGUUAGACUUGAGUGCAGAAGGGGAGAGUGAAAUUCCAUGUGUAGCGGUGAAAUGCGUAGAUAUAUGGAGGAACACCGGUGGCGAAAGCGGCUCUCUGGUCUGUCACUGACGCUGAGGCUCGAAAGCGUGGGUAGCGAACAGGAUUAGAGACCCGCGUAGUCCCUGUCUCUUAUACC
rnacentral:rRNA from 1 species